CCUACGGGAGGCAGCAGUGAGGAAUAUUGGACAAUGGGCGCAAGCCUGAUCCAGCCAUGCCGCGUGCAGGAUGACGGUCCUAUGGAUUGUAAACUGCUUUUAUACAGGAAGAAACACCUCUACGUGUAGAGACUUGACGGUACUGUAAGAAUAAGGAUCGGCUAACUCCGUGCCAGCAGCCGCGGUAAUACGGAGGAUCCAAGCGUUAUCCGGAAUCAUUGGGUUUAAAGGGUCCGUAGGCGGUUUAGUAAGUCAGUGGUGAAAGCCCAUCGCUCAACGGUGGAACGGCCAUUGAUACUGCUAGACUUGAAUUAUUAGGAAGUAACUAGAAUAUGUAGUGUAGCGGUGAAAUGCUUAGAGAUUACAUGGAAUACCAAUUGCGAAGGCAGGUUACUACUAAUUGAUUGACGCUGAUGGACGAAAGCGUGGGUAGCGAACAGGAUUAGAUACCCUGGUAGUCCACGCCGUAAACGAUGGAUACUAGCUGUUGGGCGCAAGUUCAGUGGCUAAGCGAAAGUGAUAAGUAUCCACCUGGGGAGUACGAACGCAAGUUUGAAACUCAAAGGAAUUGACGGCUGAGACGAGCGACGACGACGACGAGGGAGGAGG
rnacentral:rRNA from 1 species